rnacentral:lncRNA from 13 species
UUAAUUAUUUUCCUUUUUGUUCAACAAAUUUGAUUGGCUCUUCUACAAGGUGGUGGCAAUUCAGAGAAAGAUUGAAUAUGCCCCUAUUUUUCAUUAAUUCACAGGGUUCUAACUGAUUGUUUUAGACAGAAUUUUAACAUUUAUCUGAUUAUAUACCCUGUAUAAUCAUCUCCCUUGAUGUAGGCUGGACCUGUGAAUAUAAUGGGAAGUCACCCCCCAUAACUAUGAUAAAGUCCUUUAAUGAACUUUGAGUUAAUCAAAAGGGAGUUAAUCAUGGGUGGGCUUGACCUGAUUAUUUGAGCUCUUAAAGAAGACAUGAAGCAGCAGCAAAUACUUUUCUGCUGGUCUUUAAGCAGCAAGCUGCCAUGACGUGAGAGGAGGAGGUCAUGAGACCUGAGGAUGACAUCUAAAAAUGGAGAAAAGUCUUUGAGCAAGAGCUAGAGAGGAAAUAGGACCUCAGCCAGAUAUUGGAAAGAGACACAUAAAAGAACCAUGUCCCCAGAUCUGGAGCAAUAAAGAUACUGACACUGUGCAAGACUCUACUCCCCUAUAAAGUUAUUGCAAACAUUCUUUC